rnacentral:rRNA from 1 species
GCGAACGCUGGCGGCAGGCCUAACACAUGCAAGUCGAACGAACUCUUCGGAGUUAGUGGCGGACGGGUGAGUAACACGUGGGAACGUGCCUUUAGGUUCGGAAUAACUCAGGGAAACUUGUGCUAAUACCGAAUGUGCCCUUCGGGGGAAAGAUUUAUCGCCUUUAGAGCGGCCCGCGUCUGAUUAGCUAGUUGGUGAGGUAAAGGCUCACCAAGGCGACGAUCAGUAGCUGGUCUGAGAGGAUGAUCAGCCACAUUGGGACUGAGACACGGCCCAAACUCCUACGGGAGGCAGCAGUGGGGAAUCGUGCGCAAUGGGCGAAAGCCUGACGCAGCCAUGCCGCGUGAAUGAUGAAGGUCUUAGGAUUGUAAAAUUCUUUCACCGGGGACGAUAAUGACGGUACCCGGAGAAGAAGCCCCGGCUAACUUCGUG